CACAGCUUCACGCUGAGUUUUGUUUGGAAUCACGGAGUGAGAAGUUUCUUUGUGCUGCGUAGAGACUAACAAUGGACACCCAGAAGGACGUUCAACCACCAAAGCAGCAGCCAAUGAUAUAUAUCUGUGGAGAAUGUCACACAGAAAAUGAAAUAAAAUCCAGGGAUCCGAUCAGAUGCAGAGAGUGUGGAUACAGAAUAAUGUACAAGAAAAGGACUAAAAGAUUGGUGGUUUUUGAUGCCAGAUGAAACCUGUGAAUUCAGAGGAUUGUCAUUUAUACUUGGAUUUGUCCCAUUAAUGUUUCUCAGUGUUGCAUAGCUUUUGGUUUAACAUGCAGUAAUACUCCCCACUUAUGCUCAGGGGAUAUGUUCCAAGACCUGCAGUGGAUGCCUGAAACC